CAAUGGGGGAACCCUGAUGCAGCGACGCCGCGUGGAGGAAGAAGGUCUUCCCCAUUGUAAACUCCUGUUGUUGAGGAAGAUAAUGACGGUACUCAACAAGGAAGUGACGGCUAACUACGUGCCAGCAGCCGCGGUAAAACGUAGGUCACAAGCGUUGUCCGGAAUUACUGGGUGUAAAGGGAGCGCAGGCGGGAGAACAAGUUGGAAGUGAAAUCCAUGGGCUCAACCCAUGAACUGCUUUCAAAACUGUUUUUCUUGAGUAGUGCAGAGGUAGGCGGAAUUCCCGGUGUAGCGGUGGAAUGCGUAGAUAUCGGGAGGAACACCAGUGGCGAAGGCGGCCUACUGGGCACCAACUGACGCUGAGGCUCGAAAGUGUGGGUAGCAAACAGGAUUAGAUACCCUGGUAGUCCAAGGGCGAAUUC
rnacentral:rRNA from 1 species